CCUGCCCGGUAGUGGGGAAUAACGCUGCGAAAGCAGCGCUAAUACCGCAUGCGCUUCCUCUCGCUGGGGAGGAAGCAAAGCUUGAUGCGCUAUCGGAGGGGCCCGCGGCAGAUUAGCUAGUCGGUGGGGUAAUGGCCUACCGAGGCAACAAUCUGUAGCUGGUCUGAGAGGAUGAUCAGCCACACUGGGACUGAGACGCGGCCCAG
rnacentral:rRNA from 1 species